UACGUAGGGUGCAAGCGUUAAUCGGAAUUACUGGGCGUAAAGAGCUCGUAGGCGGUUCAGUAAGUCGGGUGUGAAAUCUCCGUGCUCAACACGGAGCGGCCACCUGAUACUGCUGUGACUAGAGUCCGGUAGGGGGAGCGUGGAAUUCCUGGUGUAGCGGUGAAAUGCGCAGAUAUCAGGAAGAACACCCGUGGCGAAGGCGGUUCUCUGGGCCGUAACUGACGCUGGAGGAGCGAAAGCGUGGGGAGCGAACAGG
rnacentral:rRNA from 1 species